AUUGAACGCUGGCGGCAUGCCUUACACAUGCAAGUCGAACGGCAGCACGGGGCAACCUGGUGGCGAGUGGCGAACGGGUGAGUAAUGCAUCGGAACGUACCUUUCAGUGGGGGAUCACGUAGCGAAAGUUACGCUAAUACCGCAUAUUCUGUGAGCAGGAAAGCAGGGGAUCGCAAGACCUUGCGCUGAUUGAGCGGCCGAUGUCAGAUUAGCUAGUUGGUGAGGUAAAGGCCCACCAAGGCGACCGUCUGAAGCGGGUCCGAGAGGAUGAUCCGCCACACUGGAACUGAGACACGGUCCAGACUCCUACGGGAGGCAGCAGUGGGGAAUUUUGGACAACGGGGGCAACCCUGAUCCAGCCAUGCCGCGUGAGUGAAGAAGGCCUUCGGGUUGUAAAGCUCUUUCGGCCGGGAAGAAAUCGCACGGGCUAAUACCCUGUGUGGAUGACGGUACUGGAAUAAGAAGCACCGGCUAACUACGUGCCAGCCGCCGCCGUAACAC
rnacentral:rRNA from 1 species